AUGAGGGUCCUUGCUGAGCUCCUGGGGCUGCUGCUGUUCUGCUUUUUAGGUGUGAGAUGUGACAUCCAGAUGAACCAGUCUCCAUCCAGUCUGUCUGCAUCCCUUGGAGACACAAUUACCAUCACUUGCCAUGCCAGUCAGAACAUUAAUGUUUGGUUAAGCUGGUACCAGCAGAAACCAGGAAAUAUUCCUAAACUAUUGAUCUAUAAGGCUUCCAACUUGCACACAGGCGUCCCAUCAAGGUUUAGUGGCAGUGGAUCUGGAACAGGUUUCACAUUAACCAUCAGCAGCCUGCAGCCUGAAGACAUUGCCACUUACUACUGUCAACAGGGUCAAAGUUAUCCUCU